rnacentral:lncRNA from 1 species
CGGUAAACUAGUUGUGAAACUGAUUCAAGGUUGUUUACAUCUAAAAUGCAAGACAGUAAAUUCUCAAAAUUUAUUUUAUGCAUGCCAGGGUGUACUACUGUUGUGUGUGCUUAAAAUGUAGAUUAUUACAAAGUAGCUCUAAUUUGAAAUUUUUUGCUGUUGACAGGUUUCCAUGUUGUCUGCUGUUGGAAGAACAUCUCUGAGGGACUGUGAAUAGAAUCUUUAUCUUCUGCUUAUAUACAACACUUACUCAUGGGCCAGUGGCACAAUUUCUAGCUGUACAAGGAUAUCAAGGUGUUUGAUAAGUUGAUGACAAUGAAACUAAUGACCAUGUUAACAUCAGAGGAAAAGCAAACUGGGAGAAGAAAGGACAACAUUGUUUUCGAUCUUGAAGGCCUGCAUAGACAAUGGACCAGGAAGGGGAGCUAGGAGUGGGAGAAGUGCCUGUGACUGAUAUGCACUGUCAGAUAGAAAUCCAGUUCAAAAGGAAAUCUGAAAUAGUGAAAUAGCAGAAAUCAUGACUUACAUACUGUAUAAUCUGCUCUAAAACACAAACAUUUGAAUUUAAAAUGUGUUAAAUGCAAAACAGUUUUACUUA